rnacentral:rRNA from 1 species
ACUCCUACGGGAGGCAGCAGUGGGGAAUAUUGCACAAUGGGCGCAAGCCUGACGGAGCAACGCCGCGUGAGGGAUGAAGGCCUCUGGGCUGUAAACCUCUUUUCUCAAGGAAGAAGAUCUGACGGUACUUGAGGAAUAAGCCACGGCUAAUUCCGUGCCAGCAGCCGCGGUAAUACA